rnacentral:rRNA from 1 species
AUGCCAGCCGCCGCGGUAAUACCGGCAGCCCGAGUGAUGACCGAUCUUAUUGGGCCUAAAGCGUCCGUAGCUGGCAGCGCAAGUCCGUUGGGAAAUCCACUCGCCCAACGAGUGGGCGUCCGACGGAAACUGCACAGCUUGGGACCGGAAGGCUCGAAGGGUACGUCCGGGGUAGGAGUGAAAUCCUGUAAUCCUGGACGGACCGCCGGUGGCGAAAGCGCCUCGGGAAGACGGACCCGACAGUGAGGGACGAAAGCUGGGAUCUCGAACCGGAUUAGAUACCCGGGUAGUCC